GUUUUUCUUUCACAUUGUUGAUACGAUACCAGCUUCACGCAUUGGCUGAAUUUCUUAUCUCCGGAUUAAGUAUGCUGGUCUAUAUAAUUGAUCUAAAUAACUGAUGCCACUGGUGACUUUGUUUCUGUGUAGAGGUGUUGUCGAUGGCCAACUGGCCAUUGUUAUUUAAAGUACUCGUCCCAGAUGCUCCAACGGGUUAACCGUGAUGAGCUUACUACUCGAACAUACUGGCAUGAUGGGGAACAAAACACAUUGUACGUGGGUCGCGCCAUUGUCUUCCAGUAUUAAGCUGGUCACGGAUCACGGAUUGGUGCACCGGGGCCGAAACCUGAAUUUUUAUGUACGUCAAAACGUAGAAGAUUCCAUUUGUGAUGUGUGGCAAUGGUGCAUGGUCUUCCGGUAUAUCUUUUGCAUCCAUCAGCUGAGAGCCAGACCGAUAUUCUGAGUGGUAAGGAUUUACGAGGUAUUCUCGCCAUCGUUGGGUUACUGAUAAUGAAGAUAAUCCGAAAGAAAUAUCGUGGAAGAGAGCUUUUGAGAGAUGAUUUUGAUUUUGCCUUGGUAUGUGAAUCAGUGUGGAACCAACCUGUUCAGUUUUAUCAGCUUGCUUCUCCUGGACUGUAACCCAAAGCCUGAAAGAUAGUUUAGAUUGAUCUAGUAACUGUAUCAAUUAAGGUUUUUUUUACAUUUUUAGUUAAUAGACUAAAAUGAUGACAGGUGGCAGUGGUGGGGAAAUUAAAUGUACAGUAUGUAUUGGCAAAAAAUCAAGAGAAAUCACGCAAGAGAAAAUGUUUGCCAGAAAAAAGCUAUUCAUUAGGAAAGUGAUGGAAGCUAUUACAAAACCAUUUCAUGAAAUCCAUGGAGUGCCUCUUAUUUAGCUGUGAGUGCAAAUCUACUUGACAAAGCCAAAAAUUAAUCUGAGAUCAUUAUGUUGGCUCUAAUACAUAAUGAAAAGGAACAUGGAACUGAAAAAUACCUUAUUGAAAAUGUCACUUAACAGGUAAAGAGCAGGGGAAUCCUAUUAAUUUCUGUAUGGUUCAAAAAUUGGUAUCCUGUUUUACUUGUAUCAAAAAGGGUUGGUUUUAAACUUGAGUAUUUGUCAUUUAUUAAUUGGAUUAGUAACAGGUAGUUGCAGGAAACCUUGUCGAUUAAGUACUGGAGCAGGCUGUACAUUAAUUGAAGACGAAGAGGAAGAAGAAAAAGAACGAAUCCAUGCUGUAUAACGUGUUGAAGUGGUGGUCAGCAAAGGGAUUAAUACUGACUGUGUUUUAACCCGAUGGUGUGUUUUACGUCGACCGUUUGGAGAAGAUGGCCUUCAUCAUCGUGCCAUUUCAGUCCAAUUUUCCCAUAUGUAACUGAAUAAUUAUCUUGUCAUUGUGGAGCCGAUCAUAUGUUAGUAAGCCGAUGCCCAUAGGUUUAAUAUUUCUGCAUAAGGGAGGCAUUUAUGAAAAAAGUGGCCGUGAUGCUAUGUACGCUAGCUUUUAAUUAAGGCCAUGGAUGGUAAUUGUUUACAAAAUCCAUUUUUCCAUGUUGGUAUGAAUUUCGGUAUAGGCUUGGGACAUGUUAUUUGUUUUUUUUUUUUUGUUUUGGUUUGUUUUUUGUUUUUUGUUCUUGU